GAUGAACGCUGGCGGCAGGCCUAACACAUGCAAGUCGAGCGGUAGAGAGGUGCUUGCAUCUCUUGAGAGCGGCGGACGGGUGAGUAAUGCCUAGGAAUCUGCCUGGUGGUGGGGGAUAACGUUCGGAAACGGACGCUAAUACCGCAUACGUCCUACGGGAGAAAGCGGGGGAUCUUCGGACCUCGCGCCAUUAGAUGAGCCUAGGUCGGAUUAGCUAGUUGGUGAGGUAAAGGCUCACCAAGGCGACGAUCCGUAACUGGUCUGAGAGGAUGAUCAGCCACACUGGAACUGAGACACGGUCCAGACUCCUACGGGAGGCAGCAGUGGGGAAUAUUGGACAAUGGGCGCAAGCCUGAUCCAGCCAUGCCGCGUGUGUGAAGAAGG
rnacentral:rRNA from 1 species